GAAGACUGAGCAUGCACGAAGCUCAUUUGUUGCUGGAAGUCACCGGGUGAGGAGCUCGCGGCCGCGGCUCCUGGGUCUAGGCCCAGGCCUGCCAGGGGAGGGUCGGACUCACCCCUGGAGUACCUGGGCUGGGUGUUGGAUGUCCGGAGCUGCUCCUGGAUGACCGGGUCUUCGUUGGACGUCGGCGGGAAGCUCAGGAACUCCGCGGUCGUUGGGCGAGGUCUCCAGGAGUCUGGCGGCUCGGCGGCGGAUCCACAGGCGUUGGUCGCGAAGUGAGCUGGGAAGCCCAGUGGAGGUCGCAGGAUAGAUGUGGGACUGGAACUGCUGGAUGACCACGUGGGAGAGGCCUUUUGUACUCAGAGGGAGGAGCUUUGAGCUGGAAUCAAGUAUUAUACAUGCAUAAGAAGAGGAAGCAUCCAAAGGACAAUGAAAUUUAUCUAGCAGGGAUUUCUCAUCCAUAAUGAACGGGAGCUGCACAACACCCCUACUAUUCAAAUCAGAGGUGGAAGACUUGGGACCUCUGGAAGUGUCACUAAGCAAGGCCUCUGGUCAAGGAAAAUGGAAGUCAUAAACCAACAACAUCUGAAGGGCCAUUAGUUUCACAUCCCUAGUCGAUAUGAAUUGGAAUUGCACUUAAAUAUUCUGCACAACUGCCAUUCAUUUAACUGAGGCUUGCAUAGACCUUCCCGGUGGAUGGUGCCUAAAUGCAUGACAAACAGUUAUGCAUAUUUGAUCCCCUUUGAAAUCAGCUGGAUUUGGGUGUGUACAUGCAAUUGCCAGGAUGUAUUAUGAAUGAACUAUGGCAAUUAAAUCAUAUUAUAUAAUGGACAGGAAACAUAAUUUAUUUACAAAAGAAAAUAUGAUAAACAAGCAUAUUUUACUCCAGCAAGGAAUCAGGAUUUCUGCACGAAAUGUACAUAGUACACUUCCAUGAGAAAAUGUUAAAAUAAAAUGUUUAAAGUAAUUGUAUACGGGCAUGUUUGAAUAAAUGUACAUUUAUUUUCAUGGCCAUUGUUUUAAAACUGAUUAAUGUAGAAGUCUUGAUACUGCAGAAAACAAACAACCCUGAAGAGAUUUGUUGCUAUUUAAU